CGCGUUGGCCCAAUUGAUUGAUGGUGCUUGCACCUGAUUGAUUUUGGUCGCCAACGAGUGGCGGACGGGUGAGUAACACGUAGGUAACCUGCCCAGAAGCGGGGGACAACAUUUGGAAACAGAUGCUAAUACCGCAUAACAACGUUGUUCGCAUGAACAACGCUUAAAAGAUGGCUUCUCGCUAUCACUUCUGGAUGGACCUGCGGUGCAUUAGCUUGUUGGUGGGGUAAUGGCCUACCAAGGCGAUGAUGCAUAGCCGAGUUGAGAGACUGAUCGGCCACAAUGGGACUGAGACACGGCCCAUACUCCUACGGGAGGCAGCAGUAGGGAAUCUUCCACAAUGGGCGCAAGCCUGAUGGAGCAACACCGCGUGAGUGAAGAAGGGUUUCGGCUCGUAAAGCUCUGUUGUUAAAGAAGAACACGUAUGAGAGUAACUGUUCAUACGUUGACGGUAUUUAACCAGAAAGUCACGGCUAACUACGUGCCAGCAGCCGCGGUAAUACGUAGGUGGCAAGCGUUAUCCGGAUUUAUUGGGCGUAAAGAGAGUGCAGGCGGUUUUCUAAGUCUGAUGUGAAAGCCUUCGGCUUAACCGGAGAAGUGCAUCGGAAACUGGAUAACUUGAGUGCAGAAGAGGGUAGUGGAACUCCAUGUGUAGCGGUGGAAUGCGUAGAUAUAUGGAAGAACACCAGUGGCGAAGGCGGCUACCUGGUCUGCAACUGACGCUGAGACUCGAAAGCAUGGGUAGCGAACAGGAUUAGAUACCCUGGUAGUCCAUGCCGUAAACGAUGAGUGCUAGGUGUUGAGGGUUUCCGCCCUUCAGUGCCGGAGCUAACGCAUUAAGCACUCCGCCUGGGGAGUACGACCGCAAGGUUGAAACUCAAAGGAAUUG
rnacentral:rRNA from 2 species